GCCGGGUGUGGUGGCACACACCUGUAGUCCCAGCUACCAGGGAGGCUGAGGCAGGAGGAUCGCUUGAGCCCAGGAGUUCAAGGCUGCAAUGAGCUAUGAUGGCACCACUGCACUCCAGCCUGGGCAAAAGAGUGAGACCCUAUCUGUC
rnacentral:SRP_RNA from 1 species